rnacentral:pre_miRNA from 8 species
GUAGCUGCUCUUCAGGAGACCUGGGUGUGGAGACACUAAGUCAAACUCCAGGAGACUUGUGGAAGUGGUAACACU